rnacentral:rRNA from 1 species
UACGGGGGAAGCAAGCGUUGUUCGGAUUUACUGGGCGUAAAGGGCGCGUAGGCGGCCACUGCAAGUCAGUUGUGAAAUCUCCGGGCUUAACCCGGAAAGGUCAACUGAUACUGCAGGGCUAGAGUGCAGAAGGGGCAACUGGAAUUCUCGGUGUAGCGGUGAAAUGCGUAGAUAUCGAGAGGAACACCUGCGGCGAAGGCGGGUUGCUGGGCUGACACUGACGCUGAUGUGCGAAAGCUAGGGGAGCGAACGGG